CCUCGCGUCGCGCGGCUGAAGGAGGGCUGGCGCGGCGCGCGCACGUACGCACGGACGUCCUCCUGAGGGAGGCGGGAACUUGGGCAGCGGGCGGGGAGUCGUCCCCGCCCCCCGCCUGACCUCCGGCCGCAGCGUGUAUGUCCGCGCCGCGGCAGCUCGGCUAGCUGCGAGCGUUUAAAGCCAGUGGCGGUGGACGCAGAACCGCCUUUGGCCGGCGCCGGUUAUGAGCUCGGACGCGGCGCUGGUGUGGGGAGAAAAGCGGGAAAGGGUGGAUAGGAGGCCGGCACCAGUCCCUUCGCAGCUAGCGUCUCCCGGGCGGCGCCGUCCCCAGAGGCGGGCGCGUCUCGGCGCAAACCUCACUUGCCGUACAUGUCGCACGCCAGGGUCUGCUGGCUCUGAGAUGCGGUCCUCCUCGGGCUCGGUGGCUUAACCAGCUGCGUUUGGGUGAUCGUGUCUCAGGGGAGCCGCGAAACGGGGCGCUUUUUUUUUUUUUUUUUAACUGGAGGCCGGCCAGAAAUAGGCUGAAAAGACCCCGGGAGGAAGAAACUCUUUAACAGCUAUCUUUAGCUUCUUAAGGUGAUUGAUUCUCAGAUGUCUACGUUUCAGAAAACCAACUGAGGAGCUUUUUCAAAGCAGAGAUGCCAUGGCCACACCCCAGACCUGCAUCAGGAAGUGGGGGGAGAGGGCUGAUGGAUGUUGAAAAGUCGCUUCGGCGGAUUCCGAUGUGCGUCAGUUUGAGGAGCCACCACCGAUCUACCCAGUGUUGUGUCCUGAGAGUCCCAUGUAGUGUCCCGGCGCGAGUUGCGUUCCAAAUGCCCUAAUGAUAUCGAUGAUAGAAGCUUUCAGAAAGGUUUGUCUCUGUUUGAAAACAAGUACCCGAGAUGUUUAUGCAGUGCAAGCGGCUGUUUUAAUGUUAGGAUCACGAAGUGCUUUCGUCUUCUGACAGUGUUCCCAAGGAACUGGUAUUCUCUGAGCUCGCACAAGGCCUUAAAAAUAAGCCGCCUCAAAACAUUUGUCAUUUAUUCGCUCACAGAUACCGACCUCUUACUGUGUAGUAGGGGAGUGUUUUAGAGAUCACAGCAGAAAGCAAAGAUCUUUGCCUUGGAGGAGCUUGCAAUCUAACGGAGGAAGAUUGACAAUAAAUAUAUGCCAGGGAGUGAUAAAUACCAUGAAGACAAAAUAAGCAGAGUAGAAGAAAUCAGAAAUGACUGGGGAAGGCCUCUGUUGGUAGAUGAACAAGACUUGUGGCUCUCUUGCAGAAGAGUAUUCCAGGCAGAGGAACACAAAUCACAAUAAACUCAACGCUGCAUUACAGCUCGACGUGGGAUGAGACCCUGGAACCCAAAGAACAGCGGUGAGAUUACAGGAGGCUGCAAGCAGAUGUGCCGCAAAGAUUUUCUCCUGAAUCAGGAAGUCAUCUUUUAUACUCGUCAAUUCCUUACAAGUGGAGGGUUAGAACACAACUCUGGAGCUGCACUACUGGAUCAAACACCUGGAUGACCUUCUAGCUAUAGAACUUCGACAAGUUUCUUCAUCAGCACCCACUAUAAGUCUGUGUACAGGAACGGCAGUACCUACUUCCUAGGGUUUCUGUGAGGAUCAAAUGAUUUUUGUAUUCACGUUAGUUCACCUACCUCAAGUGCUUAGAAUGGGGGUCCAAGCUUCAUGAAAUUGUUACCUCUGAUGAUGAUAACGACGGAUGACGGACGACACAGAUGGACACUGUAUUUCAGAAGUCUUGCAUGACAAUCAAAAAUCUGUUUAGAACUUAACCCUUUAUUUGAAACUAUAUAAACCAAAAGUUUCCAACUGACUGUACAUGUUAAAAACUUUCUAUAAAUAUCUCUUGGAUACAAAA